GAGAGAGAGAGAGAGAGAAAGAGGAAGGGUAAACGAAUCGAGAAUUUUGAAUAAAACAUAGAACGAUAUCGAGAUUAAAUUGAAAGGAAACUUUGUUAGCUUCUUGACAAAAAGGCACUCUAUAAGGGAAACAUCAGCCAUCCAAAGUACAAUUAUAUCAAAGACCUAUUCAAAGGAAAGACGAUUACAUAGGUAUCCUAUUAUGAUACCUUAUACUUCUUAUUAUUCAUAUAAAAGAAAAGAAGAAGAAAAAAAACAGUUAAGAAGAUUAAGAAAGAAAUUUCAUGUUUAUUUCCCAAUAUCUUCAAUUAUGAUUGAUUUAUAAAGACAAUAAGAAUAAUAAUAACAAUAAUAAUAACAACAAUAAUAUGAAAAAGAAGAAGAAGAACAAAGUAUCUUGGUAUAUUCAAUUUUGCUUUCUUGUUCUUAUGUGGUAUAUGUAGCUAGUACAAUGUAAAUUUUAAUGUGGGAUUUCAAUUAAACGUCAUUUAAUGCGUAUUAUGAUUAAUAUGCAUUAUUCAUACACAUAUGAAUGUAUAUAUAUUUAAAUGAAUAUCGAAUUUAUACCUCGUUGACAAAUUAAAUUUACAAUAUUGAAAUAAGGGUGUCACGAUCAGGUACACGCAUCACGUUCGAUCGUCGACGAUCUUUCAAUAUAUAAAAUAUAUCGAUACCAAACGAUAUUACAUUUGUUAAAAGGCAUAUACGUAUUACGUACAUACGCGUACACGUGCAUACAGAAAAAUUGAGAAAAAAAUAGCAAAAUAGAGCGAGGAAGAGUGAGAGAGAGAGAUGAAAGUUCAUUGUUUACGAGGAAGGACAUCUGUCCUAACAAACGGAGUUUUCGAUGAGGUCUCGUAUUUUUCUAUUCCUGUUGCUUUCUUUUAUUUUUUGAUUUUGAUUGUUUAACUAAUUAAAUUAUAAAAAUUUAAAUAUAUAUAUAUAUAUAUAUAUAUAUAUAUAAUAUUAUUACCCUGAAAGAAAAAGAGAAUGUUUAUAGCAUUUACUAGCGGACGUAUACAAAGCAAAUCUUAUUACAAUGUUUAUAUGUUUCUAUAUAAGCUGAAGUAUCUAAAUACACCUUAUCUUAUUUAAUUUUGGUCGAAUAUCGUAUGAGAUCAGUCUUUCGGCAACCACUGAGUUGGAAACUUGAAAGAUCCCGUAUGAACAUACGUUUGUAAAUAGAUAGAUAUGUAUAUAUGUACAUAUGUACAUAACUAGACACAAUAUACAAACCCUCACACUCAUACACAAAGUAUAUAGUAGUCUUUCUCUUGGGUAUUGCUUGAGAUUUUAUUAUAUUGUAUAGACAGUAACGAGCAACCUUUGUUCUGCAAUGAGCCAAAAUUAAAUAUCUGAUAUUGUUAUUGAUAGAAUUCAUUAUGAACUAAAAAUGCUUAUAUUGAUUAAAAAAGGAAUUAAUGCUUGAUAGAAAAAGAAAAAAUUACACAUUAUUGAAGGGUAUUUGUUAUUUUCGGCAUCAAUUUACAAAGAAAUGUUUUCUAUAAUUCCAUUGAUUUUUUAUUAGCAAUACUUUUAAUGUGUACGCAUAAAUGUAUGUAUAUAUAUUUUUGUAAUGGAACGAAAUCUAUUAGUUGUUUAUUUUUAAUUAGAUAUAUGAUUCUACUUCUCGUUAAUAAACUUUACAUUAUUAUAUUGGAAGAUACAAUGGAAGAUACUGAAUUAAACUAUAAUACAAUCUUCUAUUCGUUUGUCGUUAACGUUAAGAAUUUGAUAAAAGAUUUCAAUACUUCGGUUAAUAGUUAAAAUGCCUUUCAACUGGCCGUAGAUAACAAAGCUCUUCACAAAUGUAUCAACGUAAGAUGUAAUACCAGUGAUUAAGAAAUUCACUAAUUAGAGUCGACUAUUGUCAUUUUUCGAUGCAAAAUGUAAGCUGUAAUUGCAUUGAUACGUACAUGAAUACGUAUAUGAUAAUGUUUUUUUAUAAACCCUGAGUUACUCAUUUCUGAUACAGAUUCAGAUAUAUACAGAUAUAUAUAUAUAUAUAUAUAUAUAUAUAUAUAUAUAUAUAUUACAUAUUAUAUAUUAUAUAUAUAUAAAUAUAUAUACAGAGAGAGAGAGAGAGAAAGAAAAAGGGUAAAGGAAUCGAGAAUUUGAAUAAAACAAAGAACGAUAUCGGGAUUAAAUUGAAAAGAAACUUUGUUACCUCUUAACAAAAAGGCACUCGAUAAGGAAGCAUUAGCCGUCCAAAGUACAAUUAUAUCAAAAACCCAUUCAAAUUAAAGAAGAUUACAUAUGUAUCCGAUUAUGAUACCUUAUAUUUCUUAUUAUUCAUAUAAAAGAAAAGAAAAAGAAAAAAACACAGUUAAGAAGAAUAAGAAAGAAAUCUCCUCUUUAUUUCCUAAUAUCUUCAAUUAUGAUUGAUUUCUAAAUACAAUAAGGAUAAUAAUAACAAUAAUAAUAACAACAAUAAUAUGAAAAAGAAGAAGAAGAACAAAGUAUCUUGGUAACUUCAAUUUUGCUUACUUGUUCUUAUAUGGUAUAUGUAUCUAGUACAAUGUAAAUUUUAAUGUGGGAUUUCAAUUAAACGUGUCAUUUAAUGCGUAUUAUGAUUAAUAUGCAUUAUUCAUACACACAUGAAUGUAUGUAUAUUUAAAUGAAUAUCGAAUUUAUACCUCGUUGACAAAUUAAAUUUACAAUAUUGAAAUAAGGGUGUCACGAUCAGGUACACGCAUCACGUUCGAUCGUCGACGAUCUUUCUAUAUAUAAAAUAUAUCGAUACCAAACGAUAUUACAUUCGUUAAAAUGCAUAUACGUAUUACGUACGUACGCGUACACGUGCAUACAGAAAAAUUAAGAAAAAAAUAGCAAAAUAGAGCAAGGAAGAGACAGAGAGAGAGAGAUAGAUGAAAGUUCAUUGUUUUCGAGGAAGGACGUCUGUCCUAACGAACGAAGUUUACGAUGAGGUCUCGUAUUUUUCUAUUCCUGUUGCUUUCUUUUCUUUUUUUGAUUUUGAUUAAUUAACUAAUUAAAUUAUAAAAAUUUAAAUAUAUAUAUAUAUAUAUAUAUAUAUAUAUAAUAUUAUUACCCUGAAAGAAAAAGAGAAUGUUUAUAGCAUUUACUAGCGGACGUAUACAAAGCAAAUCUUAUUACAAUGUUUAUAUGUUUCUAUAUAAGCUGAAGUAUCUAAAUACACCUUAUCUUAUUUACUUUUGGUCGAAUAUCGUAUGAUAUCAGUCUUUCCGCAACCACGGAGGUGGAAUGUUGGAAGAUCCCAUAUAAACAUACGUUUGUAAAUAGAUACAUAUGUAUAUAUGUACAUAUGUACAUAACUAGAUACAUAAUAUACACACCCACACACACAUACACAAAGUAUAUAGUAGUCUUUCUCUUGGGUAUUACUUGAGAUUUUAUUAUAUUGUAUAGACAGUAACGAGCAACCUUUGUGCUGCAAGGAGCCAAAAUUACAUGUCUGAUAUUGUUAUUGAUACAAUUCAUUAUGAACUAAAAAUGUUUAAAUUGAUUAGAAAAGAAAUUAAAACUUGAUAGAAAAAGAAAAAAUUUUACAUUAUUGAAGGGUAUUUGUUAUUUUCGGCAUCAAUUUACAAUGAAAUGUUUUCUAUAAUUCCAUUGAUUUUCUAUUAGCAAUACUUUUAAUGUGUACGCAUAAGUGUAUGUAUAUAUAUUUUUGUAAUGGAACGAAAUCUAUUAGUUGUUUAUUUUUAAUUAGAUAUAUGAUUCUACUUCUCGUUAAUAAACUUUACAUUAUUAUAUUGGAAGAUACAAUGGAAGAUAUUGAAUUAAACACUAAUACAAUCUUUUAUUCGUUUGUCGUUAACGUUAAGACUUUUGAUAAAAGAUUUCAGUACUUCGGUUAAUAGUUAAAAUGCGUUUCAACUGGCCAUAGAUAACAAAGCUCUUCACAAAUGUAUCAACGUAAGAUGUAAUAUCAGUGAUUAAGAAAUUCACUAAUUAGAGUCGACUAUUGUCAUUUUUCGAUGCAAAAUGUAAGUUGUAAUUGCAUUGAUACGUACAUGAAUACGUAUAUGAUAAUGUUUUUUUAUAAACCCUGAGUUACUCAUUUCUGAUACAGAUUCAGAUAUAUACAGAUAUAUAUAUAUAUAUUAUAUAUUAUAUAUUAUGUAUAUAUAAAUACAGAGAGAGAGAGAGAGAGAGAGAGAAAGAGGAAGGGUAAACGAAUCGAGAAUUUUGAAUAAAACAUAGAACGAUAUCGAGAUUAAAUUGAAAGGAAACUUUGUUAGCUUCUUGACAAAAAGGCACUCUAUAAGGGAAACAUCAGCCAUCCAAAGUACAAUUAUAUCAAAGACCUAUUCAAAGGAAAGACGAUUACAUAGGUAUCCUAUUAUGAUACCUUAUACUUCUUAUUAUUCAUAUAAAAGAAAAGAAGAAGAAAAAAAACAGUUAAGAAGAUUAAGAAAGAAAUUUCAUGUUUAUUUCCCAAUAUCUUCAAUUAUGAUUGAUUUAUAAAGACAAUAAGAAUAAUAAUAACAAUAAUAAUAACAACAAUAAUAUGAAAAAGAAGAAGAAGAACAAAGUAUCUUGGUAUAUUCAAUUUUGCUUUCUUGUUCUUAUGUGGUAUAUGUAGCUAGUACAAUGUAAAUUUUAAUGUGGGAUUUCAAUUAAACGUCAUUUAAUGCGUAUUAUGAUUAAUAUGCAUUAUUCAUACACAUAUGAAUGUAUAUAUAUUUAAAUGAAUAUCGAAUUUAUACCUCGUUGACAAAUUAAAUUUACAAUAUUGAAAUAAGGGUGUCACGAUCAGGUACACGUAUCACAUUCGAUCGUCGACGAUUUUUCUAUAUAUAAAAUAUAUCGAUACCAAACGAUAUCACAUUUGUUAAAAGGCAUAUACGUAUUGCGUACAUACGCGUACACGUGCAUACAGAAAAAUUAAGAAAAAAAUAGCAAAAUAGAGCGAGGAAGAGAGAGAGAGAGAGAUGAAUGUUCAUUCUUUACGAGGAAGGACAUCUGUCCUAACAAACGGAGUUUUCGAUGAGGUCUCGUAUUUUUCUAUUCCUGUUGCUUUCUUUUAUUUUUUGAUUUUGAUUAUUUAACUAAUUAAAUUAUAAAAAUUUUAAUAUAUAUAUAUAUAUAUAUAUAUAUAUAUAUAUAUAAUAUUAUUACCCUGAAAGAAAAAGAGAAUGUUUAUAGCAUUUACUAGCGAGCGUAUACAAAGCAAAUCUUAUUACAAUGUUUAUAUGUUUCUUUAUAAUCUGAUGUAUCUAAAUACACCUUAUCUUAUUUACUUUUGGUCGAAUAUCGUAUGAUAUCAGUCUUUCCCCAACCACCGAGGUGGAAUGUUGGAAGAUCCCAUAUAAACAUACGUUUGUAAAUAGAUACAUAUGUAUAUAUGUACAUAUGUACGUAACUAGAUACAUAAUAUACACACCACACACACAUACACAAAGUAUAUAGUAGUCUUUCUCUUGGGUAUUACUUCAGAUUUUAUUAUAUUGUAUAGACAGUAACGAGCAACCUUUGUUCUGCAAUGAGCCAAAAUUAAGUAUCUGAUAUUGUUAUUGAUAGAAUUCAUUAUGAACUAAAAAUGCUUAUAUUGAUUAAAAAAGGAAUUAAUGCUUGAUAGAAAAAGAAAAAAUUACACAUUAUUGAAGGGUAUUUGUUAUUUUCGGCAUCAAUUUACAAUGAAAUGUUUUCUAUAAUUCCAUUGAUUUUGUAUUAGCAAUACUUUUAAUGUGUACGCAUAAAUGUAUGUAUAUAUAUUUUUGUAAUGGAACGAAAUCUAUUAGUUGUUUAUUUUUAAUUAGAUAUAUGAUUCUACUUCUCGUUAAUAAACUUUACAUUAUUAUAUUGGAAGAUACAUUGGAAGAUAUCGAAAUAAACUCUAAUACAAUCUUUUAUUCGUUUGUCGUUAAAGUUACGAGUUUUGAUAAAUGAUUUCGAUACUUCGGUUAAUAGUUAAAAUGCGUUUCAACUGGCCGUAGAUAACAAAGCUCUUCACAAAUGUAUCAACGUAAGAUGUAAUACCAGUGAUUAAGAAAUUCACUAAUUAUAGUCGACUAUUGUCAUUCUUCGAUGCAAAAUGUAAGUUGUAAUUGCAUUGAUACGUACAUGAAUACGUAUAUGAUAAUGUUUUUUUAUAAACCCUGAGUUACUCAUUUCUGAUACAGAUUGAUAUAUAUACAGAUAUAUAUAUAUAUAUUAUAUAUUAUAUAUUAUGUAUAUAUAAAUACAGAGAGAGAGAGAGAGAGAGAGAGAGAAAGAGGAAGGGUAAACGAAUCGAGAAUUUUGAAUAAAACAUAGAACGAUAUCGAGAUUAAAUUGAAAGGAAACUUUGUUAGCUUCUUGACAAAAAGGCACUCUAUAAGGGAAACAUCAGCCAUCCAAAGUACAAUUAUAUCAAAGACCUCUUCAAAGGAAA